CUAGACCGAAUGAUGAUCACAAAUGCAUAGUUCCGAUGAUCUAACCGUGAUUACUCGAAGAAAAUUUUCUUUUGCUCCUAUCUGAUGGCCAUC